rnacentral:rRNA from 1 species
GAUGAACGCUGGCGGCGUGCCUAAUACAUGCAAGUCGAGCGAACAGACGAGGAGCUUGCUCCUCUGACGUUAGCGGCGGACGGGUGAGUAACACGUGGAUAACCUACCUAUAAGACUGGGAUAACUUCGGGAAACCGGAGCUAAUACCGGAUAAUAUAUUGAACCGCAUGGUUCAAUAGUGAAAGACGGUUUUGCUGUCACUUAUAGAUGGAUCCGCGCCGCAUUAGCUAGUUGUUAAGGUAACGGCUUACCAAGGCAACGAUGCGUAGCCGACCUGAGAGGGUGAUCGGCCACACUGGAACUGAGACACGGUCCAGACUCCUACGGGAGGCCGCAGUAGGGAAUCUUCCGCAAUGGGCGAAAGCCUGACGGAGCAACGCCGCGUGAGUGAUGAAGGUCUUCGGAUCGUAAAACUCUGUUAUUAGGGAAGAACAAAUGUGUAAGUAACUAUGCACGUCUUGACGGUACCUAAUCAGAAAGCCACGGCUAACUACGUG